rnacentral:siRNA from 1 species
UGCAUCCUCCUCUUUAGCUGCCU